rnacentral:rRNA from 1 species
UAAUUAUGUAAAAUUAAUACUGGAGUAGUAAUAGAUAAGGUCUUCAAACUCAAAGAAUUUGGCGGUAUUUUAGUCUUUUCAGAGGAAUCUGUUCAGUAAUUGAUAAUACACGAAUUUUGAAAACUUAAUUUGGUUAUUAAUUUGUAUACCGCCGUCAUGAGAUUAUCUUUCAGAAAGAAAUUUUCUUGAUUCGAUAUUAGGAAAUAUGUCAGGUCAAGGUGCAGUAAAUAAUUAAGAUGGAAAUGGGUUACAAUAAUAGUAGUUAAACGGAUAUUUAGAAUGUGAUUUGAAAUUGAAGGAGGAUUUGAUUGUAAAUUAAUAUUGAUUAAUAUGAUUAUUGUUUAUUUUUUGAUUGAGGCUCUAAAAUGUGC